rnacentral:rRNA from 1 species
CAGUAGCCACGGUAAAACGUAGGGGGCAAGCGUUGUCCGGAAUCAUUGGGCGUAAAGCGCGUGUAGGCGGCUCGAUAAGUCUGCUGUGAAAGUCCAGGGCUCAACCCUGGAAUGCCGGUGGAAACUGUCGAGCUCGAGUCCGGAAGAGGCAAGUGGAAUUCCUGGUGUAGCGGUGAAACGCGCAGAUAUCAGGAGGAACACCAAUGGCGAAGGCAGCUUGCUGGGACGGUACUGACGCUGAGACGCGAAAGCGUGGCGAGCAAACAGGAUUAGAUACCCCUGUAGUCCCUGUCUCUUAUAC